GACCUGAUAGCUCUCUGGCCUGACAAAAGAGAAAAGGUACUAACAGAGAGUUAGGAAGGGGGAGAGGGGUAAAGGUUUACUUUUGAAAAAAGCGAGGAGCUCCCUUCUCUCCAAGAUGAGUAGUUAUACCUUCCAAUAGGUUAAUUUCUUACAGGAGCUUCAUCAAGCGACAGGUAUAGAUAGAUAAAGUAUCUAAUCGAGUGCUUACCAUGUGCCAGGCACUGUGCUAAGCCAUAGGGAUACAAAUACAAGCUUUAAAAAAAAUACAUUCUGUACCCUCAUGGAGCUUAUAUUCUAGUAGUGGAAGACAGCACAGGACAGAGACAGCUGCAAAGGGAAGAAGGAUGUCAGAGAGUGGGGUGUGGGGGAAAGACUGCUAACAAGGAGAUAAUGGAGAACGUGGAGCCAGGUGGUAUGAAGAUUUCUCAGUGUUAAGGAAGAAGACUUGGGAAGUAAUUUUGUAACCCUUUUUUUUGUAGGAAAUUCUUUGCUGAACUCUUCCUUGGGUGGAGGAAGACAUAUUUUAUAUUCACAAAUUAUGAAGUAUUCUGUCUUAUUCUAUAUUCAUCAGGACUUUUCCAGGAGCUGACAAUUAGUUGGCAGAGGAAAUUCACCAAAAGAAAAAACCAUGAGGAAAGCAUGGAAUUUUGAAUAAUCACUUUAGGAACACAGAUCACCACUGACAUGUGGCCUAACAUAUCCAUCAGCCUCCAAGUGUUGAACCUUCUGGCACUGUACUAGGCUGCCAGUCAGAUUACAUUCCCACUACAGAUCAGAAAUUGGUGGCCAGGACUGCACUGGUGCUAUGCUCUGCUAUCUACAGUAAAAGGUUUCAGUUACAGAGCACUUUCUAGCUGUACUGCAUUCAGAGCCUUCAACUGGCAUACAUUUAAUCACCAUAGUUCAACGAACAUCCAAGAGGAGGCCAUUUUGUAUGUCACUCGGUGGCAGGUAUGUCAAGCUGAAAACAGCUUUUCAGAACAUCACGCACACACACAUACACAUGUGCAUGCCCUCACAU
rnacentral:lncRNA from 1 species